rnacentral:rRNA from 1 species
GGGGGAAUUUUGCGCAAUGGGCGAAAGCCUGACGCAGCAACGCCGCGUGCGGGAUGACGGCCCUCGGGUUGUAAACCGCUUUCAGUGGGGACGAACCAAGACGGUACCCACAGAAGAAGGUCCGGCCAACUACGUGCCAGCAGCCGCGGUAACACGUAGGGACCAAGCGUUGUCCGGAUUCAUUGGGCGUAAAGAGCUCGUAGGCGGUUCGAUAAGUCGGGUGUGAAACCUCCAGGCUCAACCUGGAGACGCCACCCGAUACUGUCGUGACUAGAGUCCAGUAGGGGAGCGUGGAAUUCCUGGUGUAGCGGUGAAAUGCGCAGAUAUCAGGAGGAACACCAGCGGCGAAGGCGGCGCUCUGGGCUGGAACUGACGCUGAGGAGCGAAAGCGUGGGGAGCGAA